GAUGAACGCUGGCGGCGUGCUUAACACAUGCAAGUCGAACGAUGAACCGGGUGCUUGCACUCGGGGAUUAGUGGCGAAUGGGUGAGUAACACGUGAGCAACCUGCCCCUGACUCUGGGAUAAGCGCUGGAAACGGCGUCUAAUACUGGAUAUGUCCCGUCACCGCAUGGUGUGCGGGUGGAAAGAUUUUUCGGUUGGGGAUGGGCUCGCGGCCUAUCAGCUUGUUGGUGAGGUAAUGGCUCACCAAGGCGUCGACGGGUAGCCGGCCUGGGUGGGUGACCGGCCACACUGGGACUGGGACACGGACCAGACUCCUACGGGAGGCAGCAGUGGGGAAUAUUGCACAAUGGGCGGAAGCCUGAUGCAGCAACGCCGCGUGAGGGAUGACGGCCUUCGGGUUGUAAACCUCUUUUAGCAGGGAAGAAGCGAGAGUGACGGUACCUGCAGAAAAAGCACCGGCUAACUACGUGCCAGCCGCCGCCGUAA
rnacentral:rRNA from 1 species